CUAAAUACACCUGCCCAGUUGCCAACAUGGAGUUCAAACUCAACCGCCUGCGCACCUGUGACAGCUGUGGCUUCCAGAGGAGCUUCAGUGAGGAUUGCAACUACCUCUCGCUGGUCAUCAGCCCUCAGAGAAGAGUCAUAGACAGCCUGCAGCAGUAUUUCAAAACAUCUUCAUUUGAAUGCUCCUGCAGCGAGUGUGCCGGCACUACAGCCUCAGAGGCCCUGCAAUUAAUCACCUUUCCAC